rnacentral:rRNA from 1 species
GAUGAACGCUAGCGAUAGGCUUAACACAUGCAAGUCGAGGGGCAGCAUGGUCCUAGCUUGCUAAGGCUGAUGGCGACCGGCGCACGGGUGCGUAACGCGUAUGCAACUUGCCUCACAGAGGGGGAUAACCCGUCGAAAGACGGACUAAUACCGCGUACACUCUAUGUUGGGCAUCCAAUGUAGAGGAAAUGAAAUUCGCUGUGAGAUAGGCAUGCGUCCCAUUAGCUAGUUGGUGAGGUAACGGCUCACCAAGGCGACGAUGGGUAGGGGAACUGAGAGGUUGAACCCCCACACUGGUACUGAGACACGGACCAGACUCCUACGGGAGGCAGCAGUGAGGAAUAUUGGUCAAUGGGCGAGAGCCUGAACCAGCCAAGUCGCGUGAAGGAUGACUGUCUUAUGGAUUGUAAACUUCUUUUAUACGGGAAUAACAAGAGUCACGUGUGGCUCCCUGCAUGUACCGUAUGAAUAAGCAUCGGCUAACUCCGUG